AGAGUUUGAUCCUGGCUCAGAAUGAACGCUGGCGGCGUGCUUAACACAUGCAAGUCGAACGAGAAAGGGAUUGCUUGCAAUCCUGAGUAGAGUGGCGCACGGGUGAGUAACACGUAGAUAAUCUACCUUCAAGCCCGGGAUAACUAUUCGAAAGGAUGGCUAAUACCGGAUGAAGUGGUAAGGCCUAAGUUUUACCAUGAAAGAUUGCCUCUUCUUGAAAGCAAUUGUUUGGAGAUGAGUCUGCGGACCAUUAGUUUGUUGGUGGGGUAAAGGCCUACCAAGACUGCGAUGGUUAGCUGGUCUGAGAGGAUGAUCAGCCACACUGGAACUGGAACACGGUCCAGACUCCUACGGGAGGCAGCAGUGAGGAAUUUUGCGCAAUGGGGGAAACCCUGACGCAGCAACGCCGCGUGAGUGAAGAAGGCCCUUGGGUCGUAAAGCUCUCGACAGGGAAGAAAUUAAUUCAUAUUAAUAGUAUGUCUUAUUCACGGUACCUGUAGAGGAAGCACCGGCUAACUCCGUGCCAGCAGCCGCGGUAAUACGGGGGGUGCAAGCGUUAUUCGGAAUUAUUGGGCGUAAAGGGCGCGUAGGCGGUCUUGUCGGUCAGAUGUGAAAGCCCGGGGCUCAGCCCUGGAAGUGCAUUUGAAACAGCAAGACUUGAGUACGGGAGAGGAGAGCGGAAUUCCUGGUGUAGAGGUGAAAUUCGUAGAUAUCAGGCGGAACACCGAUGGCGAAGGCAGCUCUCUGGACCGAUACUGACGCUGAGGCGCGAAGGCGUGGGUAGCGAACAGGAUUAGAUACCCUGGUAGUCCACGCAGUAAACGUUGUUCACUCGGUGUAGCGGAUAUUAAAAUCUGCUGUGCCCAAGCUAACGCAGUAAGUGAACCGCCUGGGGAGUACGGUCGCAAGACUAAAACUCAAAGGAAUUGACGGGGGCCCGCACAAGCGGUGGAGCAUGUGGUUUAAUUCGACACAACGCGAAGAACCUUACCUGGAUUUGACAUCCUGUGAAUCCCUAAGAAAUUAGGGAGUGCCUUCGGGAACACAGUGACAGGUGCUGCAUGGCUGUCGUCAGCUCGUGUCGUGAGAUGUUGGGUUAAGUCCCGCAACGAGCGCAACCCUUAUCUUUAGUUACCAGCAUUUCGGAUGGGGACUCUGGAGAUACUGCCCCGGUCAACGGGGAGGAAGGUGGGGAUGACGUCAAGUCCUCAUGGCCUUUAUGUCCAGGGCUACACACGUGCUACAAU
rnacentral:rRNA from 1 species